rnacentral:sRNA from 1 species
AAAUGCCGUGAUCACUGGAUUAAAGGAAACAUGGCUCCACUCUGUUCUCUUGCCAGGUGGAAUUAUUUUUUUCUUUAUGAUGGUUCCAAGGUAAAGGAAGAAGGCGAUCCAACAAGAGCUGGCAUUUGUUACUUUUAUCCUUCCCAGACCCUGCUUGACCAACAGGAGUUGCUUUGUGGACAGAUUGCUGGAGUUGUCCGCUGUGUUUCUGACAUUUCUGACUCUCCUCCUACUCUUGUUCGUCUGAGAAAACUGAAGUUUGCCGUAAAAGUUGAUGGAGAUUACCUUUGGGUAAGUUGAAUGGCAGAAUCAGUGCUGAAGUGUUGCAAUGAUAAGUUUAGGAAGUUAUGUUGUUUCUGAGUCUUGAAUUUAGAAUUAUCUGCCCCCCCACCCCCGCCACCUCAUCCAUGUACUGUGUUUAUUAAUCACCCUCGCUUCCUGUGGUACUCUCUGCAGGUUCUCAUCAUCGAGUGCUUUCCAAAACAUUUCUAACAUAUCCUGCAUUGCACACAGCUGGUUUCUCUUUUUCUUUCAAAGACUUAGGCCAACUUGUGGAAAUUCUGUUUACUCUGUGUUGUAAAUUGAGUUUUUAUCAUCAUCUUUUCUUCUCCAUGCUCUCUACACUUACUGGGUAAGUGACCCAGAAAAAACACUGAUAGAUAUGUGUUAGAUUUUAGAGAACCCAUUAAAAAAAAAAAAAAAAGAUUAUUGCUUGGGUCCAGGAGUUCGAUAUCAGCCUGGGCAACCUAGUAAGACCCCCGUCUCUACAAAAAAUAUUAAAAAAUUAACCAGGUGUGGUGGCUCAUGUCUGUGGUCUUAGCUACUGGGGAGGCUGAGGGGAGGAUUGCUUGAGCCUAGGAGUUUCAGGCUGCAGUGAGCCAUGAUUGCCACUGCACUCUAGCCUAGGCAACAGAGUGAGACCCUGUCUUAAAAAAAAAAAAAAAAAGAAUAAAAAUCAUUCCUUUACAUUCUAAUAGUAGCAUAUAAUCUAAAGUGCUGUUUCCCAUGGCUACAUUUAUUUUAAGGCUUCCUGAGAUAAAGGGAUGCUUAAGUGUGGGAUGCUAUAUUCAACUUUGUAGGUAUUAUUUCCAACAUUUUAUUAUGAAAAUUUUUAAAACUACUUAACAGUUGAAUUUUACAGUAAAUACUCAUAUACCUCCUCAAUUCUACAAUUAGCAUUUUAUUAUAGUUGUUUUAUUACCUAUCCAUUCCUUUAUCCUCCCAUUAAUUCAAAUUAUUUUUAUUUUAUUUUAUUGAGACAGGGUCUCAAUCUGUUGCCCAGGCUGGAGUGCCAAGGUGUGACCUUGGUUUACUGCAACCUCUGCCUCCCAGGCUCAAACGAUCCUCCCAUCUCAGCCUCCUGAGUUGCUAGGACCGCAGGCAUGCACCACCAUGCCCAGCUAAUUUUUUAAAAUUUUUUCUAGAGGCAGGGUUUCACCAUGUUGCUCAGGCUGGUCUUGAACUCCUCAGCUCAAGGAAUCCUCCCGCCUUGGCCUCCCAAAGUGCUGGGAUUACAGGCACGAGACACUGUAACCCAGCCCCAAAUUAUUUUGUUACAAUUUUCAAAGUAAGUUGCACACAUUAGUGUACUCUCCACGCAGAUACUCUAUCAUGCAUAUCAUCAACUAAAAUUUAAUGUUUGGGGCCGAGUGCUGUGGCUCAGGCCUGUAAUCCCAGCACUUUGGGAGGCCAAGACGGUCGGAUCACCUGAGGUCAGGAGUUCAAGACCAGCCUGACCAACAUGGAGAAACCCUGUCUGUACUAAAAAUACAAAAUUAGCCAGGUGUGGUGGCACAUGCCUGUAAUCCCAGCUACUCGGGAGGCUGAGGCAGGAGACUCGCUUGAACCCGGGAGGCAGAGGUUGCAGUGAGCUGAGAUCGUGCCAUUGCACUACAGCCUGAAAAGUGAAACUCCAUCUC